UACAGAGGUCUCAAGCGUUGUUCGGAUUCAUUGGGCGUAAAGAGCUCGUAGGCGGCUUGGCAAGUCGGGUGUGAAACCUCCAGGCUCAACCUGGAGACGCCACCCGAUACUGCCAUGGCUAGAGUCCGGUAGGGGACCACGGAAUUCCUGGUGUAGCGGUGAAAUGCGCAGAUAUCAGGAGGAACACCGGUGGCGAAGGCGGGUCUCUGGGCAGUGAACUGACGCUGGAGGAGCGAAAGCGUGGGGAGCGAACAGG
rnacentral:rRNA from 1 species